rnacentral:lncRNA from 1 species
ACAGUGGUGGCGGGCAGCCUGCGGUGCGCACGGCCACAGGGUGUGUGAGAGGAUGCGAGGUUGGCGGAGAAGGAAGAGUUGUGUGUCUGAGGAUCGUGUGGAGUUGCGAGUUGGUGAGGUGGGCAGGAGAGUGCGCAGGGAAUGAGCUGCUUUCCACUUUGCCAGUGGAGACUGGCACCUGCCACUCCAGCCUCACAGCCAUGGGAACCUAUUUCUCCAAAGAGAUAGCCUCGCCUUUGAGAGUGGGAGGAUAAAAUGGAAAGGUGUUAAGAAUGGCGAUGGCAAAUUAGGGAAGUGAGGAGCAAAGUAGAGAAGUACCAUUGCAGAAACUGGGAAAGCUAGGACCAGCAAACGCACAACAAAUAUGCUCUUUUGAGAAAUUUGCUGCUAUUCAGUAAAUGAUCCUCAUGUGAUGGACGAGGAAACUGAGGACAAGAGAAGGUGACACUGAGGAAUUCCAUGUCCGAUCUCUUCCUGAAACCUGGAGCAGAUGGUACUAAGUCACUCCAUUGUUAAUAAUUUCUUUGAGAGGAGUCUCAUUUUUGGCAUCUGCAGCAUAAUAGCUUCUUCACGUAAUUAGUGGACCAAUAAGAGGCAAAAUGAUUAAAUGACAAAUUAACCAACUCCCAGCAAGACUCUGUUCUGUUUUUUUCUCUUUACUUACUUUUGAAAAAAAUAAAUAAAAACAAAAAAACAGGAAAACCCCACAACUCUUCCUCCGGAUAGCUUUAAAGGGAUUCUGUCUCCACAAGAAGAUUUGCUGAUGUUGUGAACAAGUGAGAAAGCCCUGGAAAGAUGUUAGCAUUAUUUCCCAUUUUGAUCUGCUCCCAAAGGUCAUCAAAGUAGAUUUGACUUAAACAGUGUCCUCAGCCUACCCAAGGCAAGCCAUGCUUUGUUCUAAACCUGAAAUUUUAUUUUCUUACAGGCAGUAUCUAUUACCCAACAAAUGGAGAGACAUUGUUCUAGAAUUUCUCUUAGAUUUGGUUGUUAUUUGCUUGGGUUUUUGUUUGUUCUGUUUCUCUCACCUUUAAGUCCCCUGUUUCUAGUCUAGUGUUCUUUUUUGGUUUGUCUAAUCUGUGUUUCCUGUUUUGCUUUCAAUGUAUAUUUAGUGUUAUUAGCUAAGCUGUUUCCCAUUUUGAGAUUUUUGUUUUCUUACCAAUCAAACAAGAAAAUAAAAAUGGUUACUGAAACUGGAAAAAAAAACUAAUGUGCAAGGAAGGGAGAUGGAUCAGUGAAUAAAUGGCUUGCUGCUGUA